GCCUCUGUGGCGUAGUGGUUUGAGUGUUCAGACUACAACUCUGGAAACCAGAGUUCGAUUCCCAGCUGAGCCA